rnacentral:rRNA from 1 species
GACGAACGCUGGCGGCGUGCUUAACACAUGCAAGUCGAACGGAAAGGCCCUGCUUUCGUGGGGUGCUCGAGUGGCGAACGGGUGAGUAACACGUGAGUAACCUGCCCUUGACUUUGGGAUAACUUCAGGAAACUGGGGCUAAUACCGGAUCGGAGCUCCUGCUGCAUGGUGGGGGUGGGAAAGUUUCGGCGGUUGGGGAUGGAUUCGCGGCUUAUCAGCUUGUUGGUGGGGGAGUGGCUUACCAAGGCUUUGACGGGUAGCCGGCCUGAGAGGGUGACCGGCCACAUUGGGACUGAGAUACGGCCCAGACGCCUACGGGAGGCAGCAGUGGGGAAUAUUGCACAAUGGGCGGAAGCCGGAUGCAGCAACGCCGCGUGCGGGAUGACGGCCUUCGGGUUGUAAACCGCUUUCGCCUGUGACGAAGCGUGAGUGACGGUAAUGGGUAAAGAAGCACCGGCUAACUACGUG